UACGUAGGGUGCAAGCGUUGUCCGGAAUUAUUGGGCGUAAAGAGCUCGUAGGCGGUCUGUCGCGUCUGCUGUGAAAACUCAGGGCUUAACCCUGAGCUUGCAGUGGGUACGGGCAGACUAGAGUGCGGUAGGGGAGACUGGAAUUCCUGGUGUAGCGGUGAAAUGCGCAGAUAUCAGGAGGAACACCGGUGGGCGAAGGCGGGGUCUCUGGGCCGUAACUGACGCUGGAGGAGCGAAAGCAUGGGGAGCGAACAGG
rnacentral:rRNA from 1 species